rnacentral:lncRNA from 1 species
CAACUACAGAUUGCAGAUUUUAGUUCUAAGAGAGGAGAGCACAUUCACAGUGGGAUAGUCAGACUGAGGUUUUGAUCCUGGUCCAAAGCCCUUCCAACAAUCUGAAAAAGAAUUCCUCAAUUUUCUCUGCAAACAAGUAUGUUUUAUGCUUUUUUGUUGUUGUUGUUUUAUUGCAGUACCGAGGAUUGAACCUCUGGCUUUCAGACAGAGCCAUAUUUCCUACCCCCAACCCUUUUUUUUGAAGUAGGGUCUUCCAAAUUGCUAAGUUGCCAAGUUUGGGGUCCUCCUGCCUCAGUCUCCCAGAGUGCAAGGAUUACAGACAUGUGCCACCUUGCCCAGAUUGAAAUCAAGUACUUUUCACAAACUUUUACAUGGCAGAAUCUGACCCGAAGCAUCUAUACCAUUAAGUGAUUGCUUCGUACAUCUAUUUGGGAUCAGAAGAGCGGGCUGUGGCUGUUCCCUGCUUGGGGAAAUGAGGCACCGACCCUAACUCUUCAUGCCCCAGACCUGCCCUUGAGCUGUUCUACAAGGUCUUCUGUGUGAGGACAUCCGGACCAUCCACCCAGCACUCUGGCCUGGUUCCAGAACAUUCUGUUCGUGAGACUGGCCACACCCAGGGAGAGCCAAGAGCAGUGUGGGAGAUGGAAGGGGGAGGAAUGCUGAGCAAGGUAA